UAGAUCUAUGCCCCUUCAUAGUGACAGUUUGUUCUCGCUUGGACCUCUAGUUUCAGCUCAAAAAGUGGUUUUUCCUCCUAGUUGCCAAUCUCAGGGGGAUUCAGCUCUACUUUGAAUUCUGCUUAUCUAAAUUUAUAAAGAUGAUACCGGAUGUUGGUUUCUGAACAUGUCAGAGGUGGCGGGUCACGAAGGGUGCUUUUUUGUUUACAUGGGUUUUUUUUCCGAUACAAGACUGCAAGCAGGUGAAUAUCUAAAUUUAUAAAGGUAAGUAUUUAUUUAACAAAUACAAAUUUUAAUACUAAAAAUUUAGAUGUUAUACCGGUAAACAUCUUGAACAUGAAUCGAGAACAGGAGUUGAUGCAGAUAUUCUGAGGAGAAUCUUCCAAUCAUUGAGUAAGUGAUUUACUGUGUAUCUUAUAGUUAUAAACUCUGUAAUAUAUUGUUCAAAACGAAACUGACCAUCGCUCAUUGUAUGUUGUUGCGUCAAAUCUUAAGUCAGUGUUUACCUUUAUAAAUUUACAUUCUUCAUUCAAUUCUUUGAAAUUAUGUGGAAUUUAAUUUUUUUUUAAAUUUCCUUUGUAUGAGAAUAGAUUAUACUCCUUCUAGUUGCAUUAUCGUAGCCAUCGCGGAUUUUUUUUUUUAUACAUUUGGACAGGACCAUAUAGGCACUUAAAAAAAAUGGAGAGAGAGGGGAAAAGGCCGAAAAACAAACAAAUAAUUAGGCCUAUUUCCGUAAUAAUUAUGCUAUUUUUUGUUUACUUUCUACUCGGGUUAUAUUUGCAAAACUGAAUAGUUUAUUCAGUAAAUGGUGUUUUUUAAUGAAUGGUUGAUUAUUUUUUUUAUUCAAAUACUUAUGAUUUGAACCCAGAUGUCCAGUUAGAAAAGUUAAACUGCAUUAUGAUCAGGGAUGUGACCUCCAGAAUCUCAAUUUUGUCACUCCAUAAAUGCAUAUACGUUAUUAAAAUGGAUUGAAGAUCUUGUCUUGGCAAUAAAGUUAAUUUGUACGUAAAG